UAUGCUUCCAAAUCCUCCACAGUUGUGAGGUAUGCCAUUAGGCACAACUCCCCCACUACGUUCACUUUGACUACCUGUGCUGUAACACGGAGCAUGGCUGCACAGGUGUCUCCUCUCUGGAAUCAGCCUCAGGAACUCACGGGACACCAUCAUGCUCUGAUAUGAGCAGAUGAUUUAAGUGAAACUUUUUGAGCUGCUGCAUGAUCCGUACUCUCUGAAAGUUCAUGAACCUUAAAGUGGGGCUUCUAGUAUCUCACAGAAAACAGCUAUAGUCAAGUUACUCCAGAGUAGAGAAAGGAGAGAGAACCACUGUCUCAAGUUUAUACAGAACAAAUGAGAUUUUGUGUUAGAGUUCAAAAUCUUACCUAAGCUGUCAUUUCACCAGGUGUUUCAGAAGUGGCUCCAGACAAGCUGGGUUCUGGGCUCCGUUCAUUGCAAGGCUUGGUGUAUUUUACCUAAGUGGAGGCUUUGACAGACAAGCACUGAUUCAUCUAAGUCAGGCAAGGACCCAACUCUAUAAAGCCACAGAAGCUAAGAUUGCUCCUGCUGUCCAUCUGCUAAGCUUACUGCCCUCAGAACAGUCUGUGCUUGAGGUGUUCUCUUGCACAGGUUAGUGCCUUUGCUCCAUCAACAUCCAUUUUUGUUUCAAUAUGGAUUACAUACUGCAGCAGCUGAAAAGCAGGAACACCUAAUUUCUGCUCCCUGCGCUGAGGGAUGCCAGCUCUUGUCUGGAGGCAUGGUGCUUGUGUGGGACCAGUAAUGCUUCAAACCAGUGUGGUGAGAGUCUCUGGAGUGCAGUCAAAGCCUGUGGAGCUUCGUAUUUUCCCUGUGCCACUGCCUCUGACCCUUACAACAGCACAACGGUUGGUUUUAUCUAUACAUGUUAGAAAGAUUUUUGUGGACAAUACCAUAUAACACAACCCAGAUGCUGUUGAUCAAGAUGGUACUUUCAUGGCCUUCUCAUGUACAGGUCUUUCUGUGUCAACGUUGCUGCCUCCUCCACCAUGCAGGCAAGCACCUGAACACCACGGUGUACGUGUCCCAACUCUUCGUUGCUCUGCGCGCAGCUGUGCUCAAACUCGCUGCCAGGAGGAGCCGGGCGGAAUAUGGCGGCCGAGCCUCGCUAGGGGAGCGCGUGCUCUCGUGCCUCAGAGCCCGGCCCGCCUCCCGCGCUGGCCGUUAGUGGCGCGCGCUGAGGGGCGCGCGAGGCCGGCGGUGCUGAGGGCAGGGCGUGCGGCCGAGCGGCUGCCUCUGCCGUUUCCACCCCUGGAGGGAGUCCCAAACGCUGGUGCACCUGCUUCCUCCUCCUGCACCCGCGACGUUCGGUGGGGAAAAAGGAGAGAGCCGUUCCAGCUUUUCGCGGUGGCGUGGCUGUGGAAUUAAAAUGGCCUCCACUGAGCAGGGCGAGUUUUGGGCUGACAGGAUCGGGGGUUAAGAAUAUUGCAACAGACCUACUGAAGACCAAAACAGGCACAUUUUUCCUGGCAUUGGAAAAGAAUAAUCAGAUUGUUCAGGACAGAGCUUCUACCUCAGAAGAGGAAUAGACUGCUCACCUGCCUAUGAUGAUUAACUUAUGCAUUUCUGAUCAUCUACAUGAUGCCAUAAUCCUUGAGUCUCUCUAACUACUUACAAAUUGUAUUUCGGAAUGGAGCCUGAAAACAGAGGGGUCUUCCACAUCCAGAAACAAAGCAAUGGUUGAAUAAAUGGAACUGUCAGCAACUAUGAAGCUGAAAUUCCAUAUCUUCCUUCCUUGACAUGCCUUGAGGGUUCUAAGAUACUUCAAGAGAUACUGAAUGUGACAAACAGAAGUGUAAGCUACCUGCUAUUUGUUGCUAGUGCUGAUAACUCCACCUUCUGACUGAAGUUCAGUGGUCUACAAGAUGUGCUCAGAAAUAUCUAUCAUACAGCUUCACCCUCACCAUGCCAGAUUCUAAACACCUUCAUAAAUUCUUUUUACUUUCAUGAUUUUCACAAGCAUAUAUACUUCUAGCACUUUUCUUGUCUUGGUUGGUAUUUUUAAAGAGUUAGACUGUUUUUGCACUGUAGUUUCUGUUUGCUCUGUGAAUUUCUGUGUCUGGUUUGAAUGAUUCUUCAAUAUUGUUGUGUAUUUACACUGCUGGUAUGUCGUGGGAAUACCCCACGUGCUAACGAAAGGUCUGGUGUCUAUGUACAGGGCUUAUACCCUGAGUGUAAGACAAGGAGAAGGGGAGCAACAGCAGUGUGUCAGGCUCUCUAAGGGAGAAAAGUAUUUUAACUGAGAUUUAAUGUUUUGUAGAUAAACACGAUGACAGUGUAAUCUCUUUGCAUGGAAACAGCAAUGCUAAUUUAUUGUAUCCUUAAUUUAAUUGGUAACAUCCUUCGCAACUGCGGUUUCCUCCAAAAGGGAAAAAUAGGAAUAUUUUUUGAAAUCUUCAUUUUUUUAGUUGUCUCAAUGCAGAAAAUUGUCUAACAUGUAUAGAUUAUAUUUCCUCACUGUAGUCAUAAGAAGUAUGCUUCCAGUGUUGUUAAUUAGCUGACUCUUAAUUAGAGAGCAGAAGAUUUCUUUUCAUGCUGUUCAGCAUAGUAUUUUUUUUCCUCCAAAGAGACUUAUGCCAUGAGUUUUCAUGAACUCUUUUGAUACUCUUGAUGCUCCCAGUACUGUUUUUCCAUGGGAGGAUCAAAUCUGGAGAAUAACACUGCUGCCCUCCCAGUAAUGGGUGCUGCACAUCAUAGUAGCAGCUUUAUUUUGUACCAGCAAACUUCACAGUGUAGAGACAGUGUCUGUAAGGGCUAGGCCUAGGUGUUGGCAAUAGUCACAGUGAGAUUCUCUUAAAAUGAAUACUUCCUCCUUCUCCUUGGGCAUUUAGACAAUCUUUAGAAGUUGCUUUCCAAUAUAGCAGAUUCUUGCCUAGUCAUCUGCUGAAUUUAUUCCUUUUCCAGGAAAUUCAUGCAUUCCAGGUUAGUCCUUCUCUGAAGCUUCUCAGGAAAAGAGGUGUUUUGACAAGAAAAGAAAUUAAAUUAAUAUAGGUACUGGGUCAAAGAAACAUGAGAACAUUGGGAUACUUACUAGCAAACGGUUAAGGGAAGAAAAAAACAAAUAAAAGCACAGUGGGAUGCUUCUUUCCCAGCUGCACUGUCUGGUCUUCCUCACUCCUUCCAGCAACGGUUUAGGGAUUUCUGAUCAGUUUUUCAUCCAAGCAAACACAUUAACAAAUUUUCAUGAGCUAAUAGACUGUGUAUUCAUGUAGUAGUUUGCUGAGUUUUUUUUCAACCUAUUUAUACUGUUGGCCUUCAAAGCAAAGCAUCCUGUGGCAGUGAGUUCCAUAGUUUAAUUACACUUCUUAUGAAAAAAACAUUUGCUUUUGUUUUAAGGCUGAUAAUUCCAGUUGGGUGCUCCCAGGAAAAAUAGUGAGUAAUUGUUUCCUUUUCAUAGUUAGUGAGUUUGAAUUUAAGCAUGUGUUUAAGUUAAGCAUGCUCUGAAAUAGUUGGCUGAAUUAAAUCCUUAGAAUUUUCAUCAUCUCCUGCUGUAACAUCUUGAAGACACGACUGCUAAAGGAACUGGUGUUUCCAUACAGCUUUCAGUUCCAAUGAUUUUAAUAAUAUUUCAUGUUGAUGUUUUUAAUUUGUAAGUAAAAAAUUCUCUUCCCUUGAUACUGAUGCUAAGAUGUGAUUUAUGGACUGCUAGAAAUAAUUAUGACAGAACCUUGAUAACAAGCAGUGUAGUAAAAAAGGACAAUCCAGUUACUGUGUGUACAGUUGUCGUAGUGCUUCCCAAGUAAGUUCUAACCAGCCCCUCAUGUUUUCAUAGUAUACAGACUCAGAAGGAGAGGUACAGAGAGGGUAAGUGACAUGGUAAGGCACCAGCUGGAAAUCAGUGACAAGCUCUGACUUAAAAUAGGAUUCUUUUCUUCCUUCUGAUUGUUACAUUACAUGAGCUUUUAUAAAGCUUCCUUUUUAAUUAGGAAAAUUAUAUAACAUUUCUGGAAUCCAAUCGAUCAAAACAGUUGCAUUUAUCCCUAGUUUUUGUCUAAUUUUAAGCAUAAGAGUCAAAGCUGUGGUGGAAGUGGUGUUUUCAUUUAUGAAUAAAUUACUUACUUAAAAAAAAAAAUCCACUCAACCAUUUUGUCAGAAUCCUUGAGAGCCUAAGGAUUUCAUGCUUUGAAAACCAGUUAUUAAACAAAAUAAACUGCACAGAGGAAGGAGAGAAGCAUAAGGUUUUCCAAAGUUCAAAAAAGAAUAAAAAGAAGUACAAAGAUCUUAUUCUAAGUACCAAACUCCUACACCAAUAUUGAGAAUUAAUUCACAUCAGAUUGGAGGCAGAAGGAUCCCAUUGUUUUUGUUUUAAAAUAUAUUUUUCAUUAAAAUGAUAUAUGUCAUACAUAACAUUUGACCAGAUUAUAUUUUAUUAUUUCUAUUUUUAACAUAUGGUGCAGGAGUAUGUUAUAUUUAUUGUCUUUAAAGCAUGCAGAAACCAGAACUAAGUAUUUUUUACUAUACGCUCAUGCAGAUGUUGUAUUCUGCGGAACAGAAGAGGUCCUGCAGAUAUCCUGUUUAAUUAGAGAAAACAAAGGCCAAGCUUACUCUGCAGAAAAGACCUCCCAUAUUAGAGAUCCCAAGUUUGGUUCCAAGCAAGCUGCUGAUUCUACACUGGGCAGCAUAGUAUCACGCAGAGAUAGUGAGCACAGUUUGGGUGCUGGCAGUGCUCUAAGUGCUAGUUAAUUAGCUUAUAUACCUUUGUGUAUUCAUGCAGCUAAACUUCGUCAAGUUCUGCCGCUAAGUUGAACACCUGCUUGAGGAUUUCCACAGGGUGCUCAUUAUGUGGCAUAUACAUGCCCAAAGGAUCUGCAAAAUGAACCUGGUAAUAAGUGAUACAGUAGGAGGGGAAAAAAUAAAUAGUAAUACUGGUAAAUGUACCAGAUACCAUUGCCUUAAGUACAAGAAAUGCAUUUACACCCUGGAGUACACAGACAACCAUGUCUUUAUUUAAAGCAAAGUAAUAUGGAAAAUAUAUAGGGUGAAAAAGAAGGUUUCAUGUGUGAUGUGUAAGAUCUGCUUCUCUGAUUUGUGGGCUUGUGGAGAACAACACAAUGAAAUUCAUGCUUUGCUUUCACAAGAAAAAUCUCAUGUGAAACAAUUACACUUGGUGCAACAGCCCUGACAAAAGUAUGGCUGAUUGCUUGUCUAAAGCAAAUAAAUUUUAGCUGCCUAGCAGAUACCCCGGUUUUUGACACAGGAUUUAUUUCAGCAAACCAACACAUGCUAAAAUAAAAUGUACAUGCUAUACACUGAAAGUCAAAUACAUGAGUAGAACUUGAAAAACACAUCUUCUUUUCCUAGUGCUCACUUGGUGUCAGCGUGCAGUUGUUACAGAUCUGUCGCGUGCUGCCCGAUGUUUCAGUGAUGAAGCAGAUGGCAAACAGUGUCCAAGUGUUGUCUUGAAAACCAUUCAGGCUACCAGGGGCAGUAACAAAAUCUGAAAGUUGCCUGUGCAGAAGUUGAAUCGGCAACUUGUAAGGAACCCCAAACCUGCUUCUGUUUUACGCAUGCUAGGUUUGUAGCAGUUAUCAGUUUGCAGCAAGGUGUCUAGAAUUAGUAGAUGCUGGUUUGCAGAACCUUUUUCUGUCAGUGUCAAAGUGCGGCAGAAUGUGCUAUCCUACUCAUCUCUAUAGCCCAGAUGAAUGAGUCCAGAAUAUCUGAAUCUGCCUAACUCUUGGCAGUUGUGUGUUUUUGAAGCCAUUGCUGUAGGGCUGCAUGCUAGAGAAGAAAAGCUGCGAGCAGCCUUCAACUUCAUGUGGACUUGUGUUCGCUAUGCUGCUGGUUGUGCAGCCUCUGUUAGAAGCUGUUGUUCUUUCUCAUAAACAGCUGAAGUGAAACUGUAAUCAACAAAGUAAAAUUUUUGCAAAAAAAAGCCACUGGGGAAUUCUGUCUCUGGUUAAGCCCACUGUCGGCUGCUGAGGAAUCGUGUGCAGAUGAUUCUUAACUUGUUAACUUCAGCCGCGAACUGUCAAGAACCACUCUGGCAGAGGGCUGUAAUAGUCCAAGUCCAAAUGUUUGCUAAGCCUAUUGUCCCCCUAGACCCAUGAAUGUUAAAAUAGCUUCUAAUGAAACUUUAGCUUCUGGCUGGCUCUUUGCCUGCUAUCCAGCUGUAACAGUUAUGCCAUCUGCGUGCCAGUUUUCAAUUCUACUUGAUUAACAAUUCAUACAGACCAUGGGAUGGUUGAAAUGGAUGUUAAGCAUGUUGACAUGCAGAGGAUUACCUCUUCAAACAUUUGUAUUGUUGGCACCUGCAAGCUGCUGUUUCGAUAAGCAUUGUUACAACACCAGCAAUUAGCUGAGAGAAGUAUGACAGUCAAAGAACGACACGAGGCCUUAGACGUAUUUCAAAACAAUGCUCCCUAAAAUUGAUCUGUAAAUUGGAAAUAUAAGGGCCAUUUUACCUUCAUAAUGAAAAGAAGCUGUAAGCUCCAAACAACCUGCAGUGAUCUUAAUGCUUGAAACUGCUGUCUGAAUGCUGAAAUAAGUGUGUUGUGAUAUACUGAAUUAACUAUUACAGUACUUCUACAGAGGGCCUGCAGACGCUCAUCUCUGCCGUUACCCAAGUGCUGUUGUACAGCAUUCUUAUGGCAGUCUUGUAUCCAGUAUUCUUAUACAGCUUUCCAAAGCAAAUGGAAAGCUGUUCACUUUGGCGACAUGGUAACUAACUAAUUCAUAGAAAGAUCUUUUUUCUAAAGAAAUAUGCUACUCUUGAUGGAAUUCAACAACUUAUUUCACAUCUUCCCUUUGGAUCUGGUAAUUUUUGUCUUGCGUUGUGACAUAAAAGUAUGUCCUCUGAAUUUUGGGGAAACACAUUUAACAUCAAAUCAGAAGUAAUUCCAGGAAAGUGAUUUUAUUCUAUUUUCUUCUGUUUCAUAGUGGGAGGCAAAUGUGUAAAUGUAAAUUAUACAGACCUGUGAAUUCUGCCCAAAUAACUUUCCAUAGAAGAAACAGCAUGAAGACUAAUGAGGACAUCAAGUUCUUUAACCAGAAGAGCAUUAACUGCCAGGAACUGGUGAAAGGUUUCAGAGAUAAAAAGGAUAAGGAACUAAUGGGAGGACAGAUUAAUAUGUAUUUGUUAUUCCAGUGGACUGGCUUUUCUAUGUUUAUUAUUACUGAAUAUCAUCUGUCAUGUUUAAAUAAUAACACAUCAAGUUGCCAGCUCAAAGAUCUCAGUGAUAUGAAAUGCAUAUUUGCUAUUAGGGAGGAUGGGAAAGAACAAGCUGAGAUUGUGGGAUACAUGAAGAUAUGUGACGGAAGGACAGGGGUAGUUCCUGAGCUACACACAAUUACCUGAACCGAGACUAAACAAUUUCACAGAUCUUCUGCAGUGUCAGCAAGUUUCAGGCUGUUCAAAUACAAGGCCUAAAGUGAAGGGGAUAAAACAUUAUUUCUACUGCAACAUGAUGAAUGCUUGUUUAUAAAAUAAUGCUGAAUGCAUCUUUCUUCACUGUCUUUCCUUCCUUUAAAAAAAGAACAGAUACAGGAAAAAAGAAACCUCUACAUUUCAGUAGAGAUUUUUAAAUUAAGUCUUUAAAUGCAUGAAGGAACAGAAUGACAGUAAGGAUGAGAAACAAGGCAUAUAGCCUCAAUACCGGUUGGCCCCUACUAGGACUGGGUGAACAUUGUUGUUAAAAUUAGCUGAUUGUCAUCUGGAAAGUAGGCAGGAGACCAUGUCACAAAAAUCACCUUCACUGGCUCUGCCAAGUGCCAACAGGGAGCUCAAGGCUCAAGUAAGCAUUUUGCUCCUAUUUGCUCCAAAAACAUCCUGGAAUCGGUAAUGACUGCAAGUGAGUUUGAUCUUUUUCCCUUUUUUUUUUCUCCUGUGUGUGUGGUCUUGUAGGGUAAUGAGAAAACUUUGGCCAGACCUGGUAGGCUAGCUGCUGGCAAAAAAAAAAAAAGAACAAUAACAUUAUUUAAAGGUAUAAUCAGUUGGUUCUUGGGAUCUUACCACCAGAAAGGUGAAUAUUCAGUUCAAAUAAGGAAGUUUACUGUCUUUCAGAAGUAAUCUUUUUACCUUCUAGGCUCAUAUACUGCAUUUUGACAAUUUAAUUUCUAAUUUUCUUGAACAAAUCCAAUCCUAUUGAAACUGAGUAAAUGUUGAAGACCAAGUGUUGUAAUAUAAAAUUUGCUUUUCCCAGAGCCAGAUUCAUAUAGCCUGUGCCAGUGUUUCUGCUCGUCUCAGAAUCUCUGAAGACUCCUUACUACUUUCCUAGGUUAUCAGUCAUGAGCAGGCAGCUUGAAUUUAGGCUGCACGAAUCUGGAUAUAUUUUCCUUCACGCUGUCCACAUUCAGACUGAUUGUUGUUAUAUGCCAGUUUGAGAACUUCCACAAAACAAAAUGAGCCAUGGCUGAUAAUGAGCAUUCACAUGUACAGCCUAGAAGCUUCUGCUGAUUCACUUAGAAGAGCUGCUUUUUCUUUUCUAGAGUUCACCUGCUGUGAACUUAGAUAUAUGAUUUCAGGAAAUUCUUAAAAGGCUUUUAGUGUUCUCAAUUGUGGCCAAGACAGGGGAGGUGGUUGUCUGCCCUGGUAUGUCCGUAACAUCUCCUUCUGUACUAUUGGUAUCAAGGGGUGGAUGUCAGAAAAAUCAUCAGGUGUCUUGGCUAUUUCUUCCAUUCCUGCUCUACUCCACAAUUUACUAUCAUCAUAUAUUGCUCUGUAGGUCAGAAACACGGAUCUUUUAAGACCGUGUAGGGUAACUGUUCUGCCAGAACAGAAUCUCCAAUAAAACUGCAAAGCUAUACUUUGGUACAGCUUAUAAUCACAUAGAUGUGGCAGUAGAUACUGCAACGAUAGUGUAUUCAUCUAUAUAUAGCUCAGAGCACUGGCAAAUGGAUGGAGUUACAUCUUUUGAAGGCACUGUCCAGGACAGUGGAUAUUUCAAGAACUUUUUUCUCACCUUGCAUUCAGCAGAACCGAGUCUGAUAUCAUUUGAUAUAGUGCAAUUCAGAAGGAAAUCCACUGUAUUUAAUGUCAGUUAUGACUGCGCCCUUUCACCAGGAGCGAAUUACUUCCUUUUGGAUCUGUUGAUCCACACUUCUUUCCAGUUGAGCAUUUUGGCAUAACCUGAAUAAGUCUUUCCCCCAGCCCCCAUCACAUAUUACUUGCUCUUUACUGUGACCUUCCUCUUUAGCAUUCUUUUCUCUUUCACACUAGCAUGCUUUAAAUUGAAAUGGACCAGAUGUUUUUUGCAAGACUAUUUUUUUAAGUACCAGACGAAUGUAGUUGAAUUCAAUUAAGUGACUUCCGUAGAGAUUUAACGGAGUGGAGCGCAAGCACAGCAAUGUAUAAGUACAAAUAGUUCUAAACAAACUGCUUUUCUUUAUUUGGCCUAAAACUAUCUGAACCUCUGAAAAAAAGGAUGUGUGAAAACAUCUUACCAAAAGUGGUUGUUUUUUGGUUCUUUUGUUUGCUUGUUUUGUUGUGUUUGUUUCUGUCUCUGUUACUUGAUUCUUGUUUAUUUCUUCCAGAGAAGUAGUUUUGGUAAGCUACAGUUAAAGCAAACCUCCCAAUUUUAAAAAUGAAACACAGUACAAAGUGCUGGGAGAUGUAAAUUUACUCAGCUGAAAAGGAAUUAGAGUGAAAGGAGUUGCGCAGAAAAAGAUCUCCGAGUUAUUUUAGGACCCUUAGGUCAUGAGUUAGGUCAUGAGCUCCUUACCAUUUGCUGUGGCAUCUGAACAGACCCUUGGAUUACAGAUCAGGGCAGGUGCAGAGGACUGCACUAUAAAUACUUUUACCCUUAAGGAGUUCACGGAUUUCAUAGAGUGGCCUCGUUGAAUGACAAACUGAACAGCAACAUGUUCGUUCUGAAGGGGAAGAUUAUCAAAACAAUUUGAGAAGAAUUUAGAAAUUUACUUUCCAACAGGUCAUGUCCCAGUUUUUUAGUUUCCAAAGCCAAAGUGCUCUUCACAAUUACCCUAGAAAUAUUCUGGAUAGCCUUUAGAAGGUUAUAACAUGCAUUUAUCAAGCUUGAGUGGCAUGUUCAGGGGUAUUUCUGUACUCAUUUGCUGCCCACUGGGCGUUACAGAGAACUGACCAGCAGGAUUCCUCCCUUCUAUUUUAAGCCUUUCUGCUGCCUUAUGGCUAAGUAUAUAUAUGACCACUUUCCUCAGGGGAAGUUCUGCCAUUUCUACACUUGUAGAAAUAUUGUCCCUUGGCUCCCUUUGCGCAAAGCUCUUUGAGAUCCUUACAGGAUAAUAUAUGCACUACUUGUGGUAGUAAAACCUACUUAAUCAAUUCAGUACCUAUUUUUUAUUUAUUUUCCAGGUAGAUACGGAUGUUUUCUAUUUCCCAUUUUUUUACUGAUAUGCCAUAGUCCUGCCUCUCCCUUUGUCCAAAAUAAACCUUCCAUUUUUAGAAAGGCUGCAAAGGGCUCAAAAACCUUUUCAAAAUGAGUUGGUAUUUUAUUUACAUUUGUCUCCCUCCAGGGGAACACUGUGCUUCUCAAAAGACACAUAUAGUCUUAUGUGUUCAUUCUGACUGACCUAAUUCGAAUCCUUCCUCAUCUUUUAAGAGGCAUGUUUUCACAGAACUGGAAGAACCAGUUGCAGCAUGAAGUUAGGUGUCACUUCCUGCA